UUUAUUUGUUUAAUUUUUUCUCAGACAAUAUAAUUAUAGUGUUUAACCUUCGGCAAGUACACAUCCGCAAAAAUGCCGAUGGUCAAAAGACGACUCGCCGAAGCAACAGGUCAUAUAAACAUGGGGUGGGAGGUGACUGUAUUACCAGUCGACACUCUGUAAUGAUCCUUCCGCAGGUUCACCUACGGAAA
rnacentral:misc_RNA from 1 species